rnacentral:rRNA from 1 species
UACGUAGGGGGCAAGCGUUGUCCGGAAUCAUUGGGCGUAAAGCGCGUGUAGGCGGCCACGUUAGUCCGUUCUGAAAGCCCGGGGCUCAACCCCGGGAGGCGGAUGGAUACUGCGUGGCUCGAGUCCGGAAGAGGCGAGUGGAAUUCCUGUUGUAGCGGUGAAAUGCGCAGAUAUCAGGAGGAACACCAAUGGCGAAGGCAGCUCGCUGGGACGUGACUGACGCUGAGACGCGAAAGCGUGGGGAGCAAACAGU